AUGGGGGAAAGGGGCGGGGCUAGUCCAGGGCCCGCCCACCGGCGCGAGGGGCGGGGCCUGCCGUACGUCGUCGCGCGUGACGAAGCCGUGUUCCCGCGGGGCGGUGGCGGCAGCGGCCUCAGGGCGGCGGUGGCGUGGAGGCAGCUGCUGGCGCCUCCGGCUCUCGGGGUUCCCUUGACCCGGCUUCUGUGGCCCCGGUUAGGUCAUGGCCGGUGGCUUCGCAGGGGGACGGACGUUGCCAUGGGUGAGCGUGACCGGCCGCGGAGCUCCGUGCCCAGAGGGGCCACGUUGGAGACGGACGACGGAGCGGGCGAGCCGCCGCUGCCCAGCCCGCGUCUCCUUCUCAGUCCGCCGUCUGUGGCUCCCCUCGGGGGUCCCUCCUCAGGUCCCUCCUCUCCGGUCCCUCUACCUGUGUCAUCCCUCAGGUCCCCCCCCCCCCAGGUUCUCUCAGGUCUCUCCACCAUGUCCCCCUCUGUUCCCUCCCCUCCGGUCCCCCCACCAAGUCCUCUCUCAGGUCCCCCCCUCAGUUCUCCUUCUCAGGUUCCCCUGCCAUGUCCCCCUCCGUCCCCUCCUCUCAGGUCCCCCCUUCAGGUCCCCCUACCUGUGUCAUCUCUCAGCCGCCCCCCCCCCAGUUCUCUCAGGUCCCCUCACCAUGUCCCCCCUCCAUUCCCUCCUCUCUCAGGUCCCCCUCAGUUCUCCUCAGGUUCCCCCACCAUGUCCCCCCUCCGUUCCCUCCUCUCAGGUGCCCCCCUCAGGUUCCCCCCCCAGGUUCUCCCUCUCAGGUCCCCCCUCACGUCCCUCUGCCUGUGUCAUCCCUCAGGCCCCCUCCCUAGUUCUCUCAGGUCCCCCACCUUUUCCCCCUCUGUUCCUCCUCUCAGGUCCCCUCCUCAGGUCCCUCUGCCUAUGUUAUCCCUCAGUUCCCCCUCAGUUUCUCUCAGGUCCCUCCCCCUCCGGUCCCCCCUCCGGUCCCCCACCAUGUCCUCUCUCAGGCCCCUCCCCCUCAGUUCUCCUCAGGUUCCUCCACCAUGUCCCCCCUCAGGUCUUCUUCAGGUCCCCCUCCGUUCCCUCCUCUCAGGUCCCCUCCUCAGGUGCCUCUGCCUGUGUCAUCCCUCAGGUCCGCCCCCAGGUUCUCCCUCUCAGGUCCCCCCUCAGGUCCCUCUGCCUGUGUCAUCCCUCAGCACCCCCCAUUCUCUCAGGUCCCCCCACCUUGUCCCCCUCCGUUCCCUCCUCUCAGGUCCCCUCCUCAGGUCCCUCUGCCUGUGUUAUCCCUCGGUCCCCCCAGUUUCAGGUCCCUCCCUCCGGUCCCCCCACCAUGUCCUCUCUCAGGUCUUCUUCAGGUCCUCCCUCCGUUCCCUCCUCUCAGGUCCCCCCCCCCCAGGUUCCUCUACCUGUGUCAUCCCUCAGGUCCCUCCACCCAUGUAUCCCUUCAAGUCCUCUCUCAGGCCCCCCACCCAUCUCGCCCCUCUGACUUCCCUUGAUCCCAGAUCUCCCCACCCACUCUGUCCCCUUCAGGGACCCCCUUUCCCCCCAAAGGGUUCUAGAGACCUGAGCGAGCCGUGUAGUGACUGUUCCGGCUGCAUCUUGAGGUCUGUCGGGGAGCUGGACACGAGGCAGAUUUGUGUUCGAUUUGCAAGCUGGGUGCAGAGGACAAAGCGUGUCUUGUGA
ensembl:lncRNA